rnacentral:rRNA from 1 species
GUUAGGAAUAUUGGACAAUGGGCGCAAGCCUGAUCCAGCCAUGCCGCGUGAGUGAUGAAGGCCUUCGGGUUGUAAAGCUCUUUAGCCGAUGAUUAUAAUGACUGUAGUCGGAAAAUAAGCCCCGGCUAACUUCGUGCCAGCAGCCGCGGUAAUACGAAGGGGGCGAGCGUUAUUCGGAAUCACUGGGCGUAAAGCGUGCGUAGGCGGCUUUGCAAGUGGGGAGUGAAAGCCCAGGGCUCAACCCUGGAAUUGCUCUCAAAACUGCAAGGCUCGAAUUCGGGAGAGGAUAGCGGAAUUGUCAGUGUAGCAGUGAAAUGCGUAGAUAUUGACAGGAACACCAGUGGCGUAAGCGGCUAUCUGGACCGAUAUUGACGCUGAGGCACGAAAGCGUGGGGAUCAAACAGGAUUAGAAACCCCUGUAGUCC